GAUCAUGGCUCAGGACGAACGCUGGCGGCGUGCUUAACACAUGCAAGUCGAACGAGAGCGUAGAGAAAGCUUGCUUUUUCUACAAUCUAGUGGCAAACGGGUGAGUAACGCGUAAACAACCUGCCCUACGGAUGGGGACAACAGCUGGAAACGGCUGCUAAUACCGAAUACGUUCCGAAAGUCGCAUGACUAUCGGAAGAAAGGAUGGCCUCUAUUUAUAAGCUAUCGCCGGAGGAGGGGUUUGCGU
rnacentral:rRNA from 1 species